CCCCGGUUCCGCUGUCUGCACAGUCUGCAGGGCCUCCCCGACCCCGGUCCUCGAUCAAGGGCCAUCUCAGCCCCCUGCAGACGUUCUCGGUUGUCACGCCUCUGGGGCCUGGCAGUACAAGUGGAUCUAGUCGGUGAAAGCCAGGGGUGUUGCUCGGUGCCCUGCUGCAUAUGAGACGGGCCCCAAACAACAGAAAACUCCCCACCCACAACACCAGGAGGCUGAGGGGAAAUCACCAGUGAAAUGACAGGUCUGUCUCCAGGCUCAGGGCUCGUGGGGCCCCCAGGGCUGGCCCUCCAGCCAGGCCUGGGCUCCGCAGCAGGUGGGCGUGUGCCGGGCAGCGGGGCCUCCAGCAGCAGCUCGCUCCCUGUUUCCUGCAGGAGGUCACCUGAGGGCAGAGGAUGCUGCAGGCGGGGCGGCCGGCGAAGGGGAAGGCGGAAGGAUUACACAGGGGACUUCCGCUGGAGGCCGCAGCGGGGGAAGGCUCCUAUUGACAGAAGCAGCAGACGGAACUGCCGAUGCGCCUGCCAGGAGACUCCCCAGCCGCUGCUGUCCCCGGGCUGGCCCCAGGGGCAGGGCGAGUCGAGCAGGAGCAUCCCGCCUCUGUCCGUGGGCCCGAGUGCAGCACCUCAGGGCCAGCUGGUGGUGCCAGGCCCUCUCGACGUCCACGAGCACCUCCUGGCUGAACUGCUGCCUGGGGACCCCAGCAGACAUGCUCCCCAAGUUCUCAGUGCCCUAAGAAGUGGCUGGAGACCCCGAGGCGGGCAGGACUUGCUUAGCAACCCACAGCCAGCUCUGGAAGGACGCAGCUGGGCUCUCCCAGCUCAGGACUGGGAGAUGACUGUGGCAUCGACGGCUGACCCCAGGUCAUCCGACAGUGGACCCGGACCAACAGCCGAAAACCCCCGCCAGGGAGCAGGGGCCAGUGAGCAGCCCCUCAUGUCCAGGGAAGGUGCAGGGUGGGGGCUUGCCCAAGCAAUCCUCCAGGCCCUUGGCCCCCGCCCCCUGCCCUCCUCGCUCCUGGACAUAAGCCUUUUCAGACCACCACCCCCCUUUCUCCUAUAUUAGUGUCCUCAGGCUGCUAUAAGCAGUGACCAUGAACUUGGCUUAAAACAACAGGUAUGUAUUGUCUUCCAGUUCUGGAGGCCAGGAGUCUGACAUCAAGUUGUCGGCAGGGGUGGUCGGUUUCCUCUGGAGGCUCAGAGGGGCGUCUGCUCCCAGGCCUCUCACCCACCUCCCAGGGAGUGCUCGUGGCCCUCAGCAUUCCUGGGCGAGGGGGUACAUCGCUCCAGCCUCAGUUGUCACGUCUCCCCUCCAUGCUUCUGUGUUCUCUGCUCCUCUUUGAAGGGUACUUCUCACUGGAUUUGGGAUCCACCAAAUCCAGGCUCAUUUCCCAUGAUGGCAAGGUGACGCUCAAAAUCCUUUAAGCUAGGCUUCCGCAGUAUGUGCCCUGAGAACUUGCAGAUGUGCAAGCUGGGUUUCGAAGAGGCAGAGGAACCAGAGAUCAAAUUGCCAACAGUCUUUGGAUCAUAGAGAAAGCAAGGGAGUUACAGAAAACUAUCUACUUCUGCUUCAUUGAUUAUGCUAAAGCUUUUGACUGUGUGGAUCGCAACAUACUGUGGAAAAUUCUUAAAGAGGUGGGAAUACCAGACUACCUCACCUGUCUCCUGAGAAACCUGUAUGCAGGUCAGGAAGCAACAGUUAGAAGCAGACAUGGAACAACUGACUGGUUCCAAAUUGGGAAAGGAGUAUGACAAGGCUGUAUAAUGUUGCCCUGCUUAUUUAACUUCUAUACAGAGUACAUUGGGUGAAAUGCUGGGCUGGAUGAAUCACUAGCUGAAAUCAAAAUUGUCAGGAGAAGUAUCAACGGUCUCAGAUAUGCAGAUGAUAUCACUCUAAUGCCAGAAAGUGAAGAGGAACUAAAGAGCCUCUUGAUGAGGGUGAGAAUGAAAAAGCUGGCUUGAAAUUCAACAUUCAAAAAACGAAGAUCAUGGCAUCCAGUCCCAUCACUGCAUGGCAAAGAGAAGGGAAAAAUUUUGAAGUAAUGACAGAUUUUACUUUUUGGGCUCCAAAAUUACUAUGGACAGCGACUGCAACCAUGAAAUUAAAAGAGGCUUGCUUCUUGGAAGGAAGGCUAUGACAAACCUACACAGCAUAUUAAAAAGCAGAGACAUCACUUUGCUGACAAAGGUCUGUAGAGUAAAUGCUAUGAUUUUUCCAGUAGUUAUGUACAGAUGUGAGUGUUGGAUCAUAAAGAAGGCUGAGUGCCAAAGAAUGGAUGCUUUCAAGCUGUGGUGCUGGAGAACACUCUUGAGAGUCCCCUGGACUGCAAGAUCAAACCAGUCAAUGCUAAAGGAAAUGAGCCCUGAAUGUUCAUUGGAAGGGCUGAUGCUGAAGCUGAGGCUCCAAUACUUUAGUCACCUGAUGAGCUGACUCAUUGGAAAAGACCCUGUGCUGGCAAAGAUCAAAGGUGAAAGGAGACGAGGGAGGCAGAGGAUGAGAUGGUUAGACAGCAUUAUUGACUCAAUGGACGUGAGUUUGAGCAGACUCAGGGAGACAGUGAAGGACAGAGAAGCCUGGCUUGCUGCAGUCCAUGGGGUUUCUAAGAAUCAGAUACAACUUAGUAACUGAAAAACAACAAAUCCAGGCUGAACCCCGUCCCAAGGUCCUUCACUUAAUUAUGUCUGCAAAGACUCUUUCUGUAAAUAAGAUCCCCUCCACAAGUUCUGGGGGUUAAGAAUUGGACCUAUCUUUUUGGGGGAGGCCAUCAUUCAACCAGGGUCUCCUAGGGGGCGCAGUAGUCAAGAAUCCAUCUGCCCGCCAGUGCGGGAGACACAAGAGACAGGGGUUCAAUCCCUGGGUUGGGACGAUCCCCUGGAGAAGGAAAUGGCAAUUCACUCCAGUAUUCUUGCCUGGAGAAUCCCAUGGACGGAGGAGCCUGGCGGGCUCUGGUCUAUGGGGUCUCAAAGAGUCAGACGUGGCCGGGCACACACACACCCACACACGCACCACUCAACCCUUAAAUGCCAAGGGCCCGCAGCUGCGUCUGCCCUCUCUGCCUACCAGAGCCCCUGCACUUCAUCACAGCAGCCUGGGGGCCACGGAAGGCACCCUUGACAUGUGUGAGUCAGGAGGGGCAGGGAGCCCAGCUGAUGGGAGCAGGAGUGGUGGCUUGGAGAGCGGGCAGCUCCAGGCCUGCCCCCGGGAAUGUGGACGGGAUGCAUGGACAGACAGGUGCGCCCCUGUGCCCCUGGCUGGUCCUGGGGGCCCCAGGCCCCCGCCCCGUGGGCCGUCAACCCCUCAAUGGCCGGUGUUCUACAGGGGCCUCCCACUAGCAGGCCGUGGGCAUGAGCCUCAGGUCUGGGCAUGAGUGCCGGGCAAGUGGCCACUGGGCCUGGGGCCAGUGAGGCCCAGAGCUCCCCCACUGCAAUUGCCCCACCAGCGGAAGGCGACUCCCGCCUGUAGUCGCGGUGCCAGAACCCGCUGCUCCUCCAAGGUUCCUUUUACAACAAGUGGAUGCUUGGCUCCGAGCUCAGCAGCCGGGACUGAGGCUGGGUCUGAGGGCUCCCACAUCGAGGGUGGCCUCCUUGGCCCCGGCUCGCAGAGCUGGGAGCUCCACCAUGUCUUCUGUGAGCCCUGCUCCAGGCUCGGCCUCCCGAGUGUAGCGUGGGGUGAGGCUCCUACAUGUCUGAGUGGCUUCCAGGGACCCAGGAUGCGAGGGACGGUGUCCCUGGCCACAGAUACAGAAACUGAGGCCAGGAGGGGCCUGGCUUGGUCUCUCUGCCCAUCAGAAGCGGGUUGAGGCCCCAGCUGGCCCACCACCUGCUGACCUACCUCCUCCCAGACCCUCUGGGGGCAGUCGGUGGGAACCGGCCGUGUCUCAGCCUCCCAGCCCCGGGCGGCCACCCCCUGGGAGGCCUGGUCAGCGGGCUCAGGUGUCUCGCACGGCCGGUUCCUCUGUCUCGUCUCAUCCUCGCCUCUGCGGAGCCAGAGGGCGGGUCAGUCCCCAGGGACAGCAGCACAGAAGGCAGGCGGGCGGGGUGGCCGUCUGGCCUCGGAGGUGGGGAGGGGCCUGGGCCGGCUCUAAUGCCAUCUUCCAAGUCCCUCUGGAGGCUGGGCUGUCCAGGUGUGUCCACGGGGACCUCCCUCGCUGCCCCUUCCCACGACCCCUGUGCCGUCCCCUCUGCCCAGGGUGUGGUCCUCACCAGCCGCCGGCUCUGCAGCCCCAGCCUGCCCCGGUAGGGGGCACGGGGCCCAUCUGGGGCCCACCAGCUCAGGCAAGCGGGGUGGGCUGCCCACUGCAGACGGCCAGAUGGAGCCUAGAAGCCUUCCCGGGUGAGGGGCCUGUACUCCCUGGCCGCCUGGUCCUUCCUGGGACGAGGCGGGGGGGUCAUGUUCGCAACCUUAUGUUAUAGGCACCGAAAGGAGGCUCAGCAUGGUGGGGGUCCCAUAGCCCGAGGGGCGUCCGAGCCUGUGGCCAGGACACCCCGCCUGACACUUCCUGCUCCUAACUGUCCAGCCUGGCCCUGGGUCUGACCAGAGAGACCGCAUCUUCAGCCAGGGACUUGGGGAAGCUGAGGCUAAGGGUGGGCCGGAUGGCCACCCGCUUGUCUGCCUCUCAGAGCCACACUCCUGGUCUUGACAUCUUGGUUCUGCUGAUCGUGCAUUAGCCAGGUGACCUCAGCUGAGUCAGAAGCUUUCUGUGCUUCGGUCUCUUCAGCUGUGAAAUGGGAGCCAUUAGGAAACCUGCUUCAAAGGGUGCAGUGAGGAUCGCGUGAGCUGAGCACGCAGGCCUGGUGUGCGGUGACGGCAGCAGCGGGCGAUGUCCUGGCCUGUCACCGUGGUCAUCAUCAGGCCUGCCCUGCGGCAGCACGACCUUCAGAGCCCGAUCUUGUCUUGGUCACUGCAGAACCACU
ensembl:lncRNA